CAGCCCGCGGGGCGCUUCCGCUCCGGUCUAGCGCACAGAUGGUUCCGGGAAAGUGCCGCGCCUUACGCGAAAGUGGACCGCGGGGCGCUUCCGCUCGCGCCCGGCGCCCUGGUGGUUCCGGGAAGGUGCCGCGCCUUACGCGCUUUUGGACUUCCGCGCUGUCUGCAGAAGCUAUCGUCGCUGGGGACCUCGAGUCUGACCCGGUAAAGGACGACCUUUCCGUGUGCUUCUUUGCCUUUGCACCUGCGGCACGACAUUGGAAAGGCAGAAGUAAUCGUAACUGGGCGGAUUCUGUCAUUCAUUCAACGUUUCUUCACCGGCAAGUUGGAAACAGACACUGGGCUUGAAGCUGGAGGCCCGUAUGGGACCUAAUAGGCAAAACUGCCUUUUCUAUUGUAGGGGAUGUGACAUGUGUUAUUGAAGGCCGACGUCGGUUGGUGGCCACUGUGCGCCUUGAGCUAUCAAGUCAUCCAGUCCUUAACACAACCCUGAAUAGUGUUGUCCACAUCCUACACAUGGGGACAUCCUAGCUUCGCAGGUGGCUAAGACGGUAAAUAAUCUUCUUGCAAUGCAAGAGACACAGGUUUGAUCCCUGGGCUGGGAAGAUCCCCUGGAUAAGGGAAAGACUACCCACUCCAGUCUUCUUGCCAGGAGAAUUACGUGGACAGAGGAGCCUGGCGGGCUACAGACCAUGGGGUCGCAAGGAGUCGGACACGACUGAGCGACUAACACGCAAACACACACGUCCUACAGAAGAGGGCCAUGUGGCCUGGAGGAGUGAGAGGACUUGGCCCCACUGCUCCAUCCAGGAGCUGAGAUUCAGUCCCAGAGUAAGGCCUCCCUCCCGUAAGGGCGAGAAGGACUGGGGUCCAGGAACGAAGGGCCCUGGGCCGGGUCGCUUUAAGGAGAAGCUGUAUCACAAUCACUUUUAAUGCAAGAAGAAUAGGGAAAGAAGACAUUUUCCCGGAGCCCAGAGCUUCCAAUCCAGGCCCGUGGACUUUGAACCCUGGGUGAAGGAGUCUGAAUGUUAUGGUGUGGUGUGGCAUACUAGCAAUUUCUAACAUGGAACCUAAGGAAUCAGAACAAAUAUGGCCCGGGCCUGUGGUGGGACGAAUGCUAGGAAAGGCACUGGGCAGGAAUCUGUGCGUUAUCGGGCCAGUUCCUAGCCCAUGCCCUGCAGAAACAUGACCCCCGACCCCAGGCUCACCUAGCCCCGUUCUUGGCACAGAAGAAAAUGUUUUUGGAAUUAAACUGAAUGGUGAUGGCAAUGCAGAUGUUGAGUAAAUGAACUAAUUACAGCUUAAACUGCAUGACUCUUACAAAUAACUAGGAGGACAUUAAAUGUCUCCCUAUCCCCGCCAGAAAAGAUUCCUCCACUGCAAGGAUUCAGAAAGAAAAAACAAAAAACAGAACACAGGCUCACCACCAAGAGAUCAUCUACGUAAUGGGUUGAAGGGUCACAGCAACGUCUAUAUUUAAUAUAAUGUAUGCCACAUGUGUACUUUUAAAUGUUAUAGUAACCACAUUUAAAAAUAAA